GAAAUUCUUACCGAGCCACAGAUCAGAUAACGACGGAAAAGCUGGGCCGUUCGUCGCCUGUUUCCCUCAAGAACAGCUUUGUCCCCCUUUCGUCUACGAGUGAGCUGCUAGUGCCGGCGGCGCUAAUUUCGGCCACCCACGGCCAAGGAAAAUGGAGGGUGCUGGUCUGGAGUUUCUUCUCGACGUCGUUGACAGGUUCCCGCUGCGGAAGGAGUACGCCGACAACAUUUGACACCCAGAUCCAGUUCCUCUGGUCUUGUUGCCCACGAGAGAAACCAACCGUGGCGACCCUGAAGACUCAAAUGCUGGGUCUGGCUGCGGGCAACGGCUCGGCGACGAUGGAGCUGACAAAGCACGAGACUGAGUCCGCCGGCGUUCAGAUUCAUUUCUAACUAUGUUGGCACAGUCAACUGACAAAGUCAACCCACAGGCCCCAGAUUGGACAAAAAGGUUGCGGCUGGGUAGUGCACCACCAGACCGGACAAUGUGACCGUCUGGCAUUAGCACUCUGGAGCAGUCAAUUCACAAAUAUGCGGAGGAGCCAACAAAGAGUGUCGUUCGACCAACACUUGGCCCGAGUUUUGAUUCACUUGACAAAACCUGGAAACUACUUUGAUAAUUGAAGAUGUUUGGCGUCCGGUUGCCGGGAGCCAGGUGGCUUCUUGUUACAUGAAUCACAAAUUGAAGCACUGUGAGCAGCUCAGAUCCUAAUUGCUGCUGGCGAACAGAACCAAGGUGUGGCAGAAGCAAACAAAGAGGACCAGCCUGGACCAGGAACUUCUAAUGGUGCAGGACAUCGAAACGGGAAAACUAUAAUGGAAGAAAGCUCAGAUUCCUUGACCAGUGACAGUGAUGGCAAUGGCGGUGAUCCAAACGAUCGCAUUAUCAGGGCAUAUCAGAGAGUAGAAGACAGAGGUCAACCCCUAGGGCUACAGAUUUCGCAGGGAAGCCUCCGUAUUAGGAAUGACGUGGAAGGUGGCCGUGUCACAGGUCUUGCGCCACGGAGUAUGAUGAGGCUGAGGCAAAGACUGCAGUUGAGGGACAGUGGUGACCAUGGAGCCGGUAGCAGCGGUGCCGCUGCCGGGGCUGAUCUUACUGAAGAAAACGGUGAGCAUCGAAGCAGGGAGGCACAGAGGAUAUGGAACGAAAUGGCAGCUGUUGAGGAGCAAGCAAAGAUCGACCUUGAAUGUGAGGAAGCAUCUUUCUUUGGUUCCUCGAUUGUGUUUCUCACAAGAGACAAUAAAUUUGGGUUGCUAGGUACUGAAAAUUUGGUGUUUGUUUUUGCUGACGCGCGUGAGCAUGAUACUAUACCAGUGAGGGGUGGUGCAGCAAACAGUGGUGCGUUCGGGGCUUCCAGUGGACCUCCAGCGACGAACAUCAGCAACGUGUGCGCAGACUGGCUGCGGCAGCUCUAGACUUAGUGGACAGAUCAAUAGACAAUCCCAUUCUCAACCAUGUACAUUGCUAUGUCUUUUAUUGUUUUGGAUGUAGCAACUAGUGCAUUGCCGACAAACAUGCAUCUUUGAUCAAGCAAGGGCUCUGCUGUCAAGGCUGGGUGUCAAUGGAGAUAUUGGAUUAAAUGCUGCCUCUCUUGGAGGCCAAGAGCAAGGUGGAGAAACCGGAGAAGCUGGAAAUGGCGCAGCACCAGCCGUGCAGCAGCCAUCAGGGAGGAGAGUGGAGUGUACAUCGUGCACUACAUCUUGGAGUUCACCGGGCUUUACCUACGUUCAGCUCUGACUCAGGGGCAGAUUGAGCAUUUGCGGAAGAAGAUUGCCUACGAGAUAGUCACAAUGAAAGGCAACAAAGGAGAUAUCCCAGAGUUCCUGAUUGACGCGAUCGUUGACUGAAGUGGAAGACAAUAGAACUUCCAAACUUCGUGCAGCCCGGCGGUAUCUUUUGGCUGUGCGUGUGCUUGACAGUUAGAUUAAACCAACUACAUCUUAGUUAUGCAGAGGCCGGGUAUUACUCAUAAUGUUUUUUAUCCCCUUGAUGCUACAUUCUGAGAUAAUAAAAUCUCCCUUUAUCGAAAAGAAUAAAAAAGUACUUAGGUUAUUUCGCGGUGCAAAAACCCUUCCAUUGUGUAUUUCGGGAAAACUAUGUUCGUGUAAUAUUUUCCCAGGUGGGAACCUAAUCAGACCAAGUGAGUUGUGAGACGAAA